CAGUAUGCCUGCCAUGAAGAUUGACUGUGCCAACUCCUUUAGUUUGUUGGAGCUGCACACCAAGUCCCACUGUACAAGAGAAAGACACCCUGAAUUACUUGUGUAAUGAAGUGGAGAAUUUUAUUCACUGGAAAUGUCUCCCAAGAAUAUUUCGGAAGUAGAGUGCGGGAAGGAACCAGCCAACCAAGGAAUUCUCUGCUUUCCUCUUCUGGAACUGAGGCGGGUGGGACAGAUACACCUGACAUCAUCAUCAUCAUCAUCAUCAUCAUCAUCAUCAUCCAACAGCAGCAAACAGGAACAGAAUGAGGAAACGGAAACUUCUGAGGGCUGUGAACUGCUAGUAAACGGCAGAGUCAGGAUGUGAACUCUGACUCUAGUUCAUGAUCCUCCACUAUAGUCUGGAGAUCUGACCCUUGCCUCUGUUUACCAAGGUCAUCUGCACUGAGUUUGUUGUUAAAUAUUUCUGUCUUCCUUCCUAGAGUUGGCACAUCCAAUCCUCUGCCUCUGAGUUAGAGACCCACCCCUAGGUAAGGCCCAACGCUGUUCCACCUCCAUCACUUGGGAGAUAGAAAUCCAUUCUACCCCCGACCCCCGACCCCCCAAUAGAUGGAGCCUGUAUUUGCCAUGGCUGAACACACACACACACACACACACACACACACACACACACACAGAGAGAGAGAGAGAGAGAGAGAGAGAGAGAGAGAGAGAGAUCAGUAUGUCCUGCGUUUGCUCUUCUGAGUGGAUUGGGCCAUCAGUGUUCCAGUGAUUGUGGAGGUCAGGGACCCUUCCUGUGGGUUGUCAUAGCAGAGUCCCCAGGGAAUUAGGAGGAUGUGGAGGAGUGCGCAGGCCUCGGAGGAUGGCUGAUCUCCUGCAUCUUACAAAUUCACAUCGUCUCAAUGAAUGGGAUCCUGACUGGAAACUUGGCUGGUAUGGGGAUGAACUGACGCUUGACUGAGUACGAGGCCUGAAAGCUUUGUUCUUGCCAUGGUUCCUGGGAGCCCACUUGAGGAGCGACCUGGAAAGGGAACUGCUUCCCAGUGGUCAGCAGUGUCUCUGGGGAUGCAGGGAGAGCACGUCCUGCAUUCAGCAUUAAUUGAACACUUACUGCACUUUUAGUCCUGUGAUGACAGAUAUGGAUGGGAGAUACUGUCCUUGUCCUGGAGGAGCUCCUGUGAGGGGAAGGCUCAUCUAUGGACAGUCCAUUCCACGCAGCUCCCUCAGUCUCAUGGAUUGUAUGUUGGGGUCUGUGAAGCCUUAAGGAGCAUGGGCUAUGGAACCCUACCCCAGAGGAUUGACUCUCUACUUCACAUUUGCGAGUGUGGUAUCUUGGUUAGUAGCCUCUCCCUCAGUGUCCUCAUCCAUGCAAACAGGAUAAUCAAGACGCUUAACUUAGAGUAUUGUGAGGAUUAAAUGAACUCAAACAUGUGGUGUUUAUACCCAUCUGGCACCUGCGAACUCA